AUACGUACUUGGCGCAGGGAUACCGUGAUCAUGCAGGCGGUUCCCUCAGGGUGAGGCUGCUCCAUUGCACUACGGAGUGAUAGACCCUUGCGAUUAUUUUUAUUUUUUAUAAGUUUCACUUCUACCAUGUGUGAUUUUCAAUUUGCACACACACA